AGCGAACGCUGGCGGCAGGCUUAACACAUGCAAGUCGAACGCCCCGCAAGGGGAGUGGCAGACGGGUGAGUAACACGUGGGAACGUACCCUUUGGUUCGGAAUAACUUGGGGAAACUCAAGCUAAUACCGGAUACGCCCUUAGGGGGAAGGGUUUACUGGCGAAGGAUCGGCCCGCGUCUGAUUAGCUAGUUGGUGAGGUAAUGGCUCACCAAGGCGAGGAUCAGUAGCUGGUCUGUGACGAUUGUCAGCCACACUGGGACUGAGACACGGCCGAGACUCCUACGGGAGGCAGCAGUGGGGAAUAUUGGACAAUGGGGGCAACCCUGAUCCAGCCAUGCCACGUGAGUGAUGAAGGCCUUAGGGUUGUAAAGCUCUUUUACCCGGCACGAUAAUGACUGUACCGGGAGAAUAAGCCCCGGCUAACUUCGUGCCAGCCGCCGCUGUAA
rnacentral:rRNA from 1 species